AACGGGAGGGGCAAGCGUUACUCAUCUUUACUGGGUGUAAAGGAUUCGUAUGGCGGUUUAAUUUGUUAUUUGUAUUUUUUGUGCGAAUAAAACGGUUAAACUAGAGUCUAGAAGAGGAUAGCAGUACUCUUGGAGGAGAGGUGAAAUUCUUUGAGACUGAGGGGACUGUCAAGGGCGAAGGCAGCUAUCUGGGAUAUGACUGACGCUGAGGAAUGAAGGCUUAGGGAGCAAACAGG
rnacentral:rRNA from 1 species